CGUUUCCGCCGGCACGUUAAACAAAGUGUUAAAAGAGCUCCGGCAUAACAAGCAACGUAGCGUCGGUAAUACUACACGGGAGAUAGUUCACCACGGUUGCAGUUCAGAGAAAUAACCACAGUAAGCUUCCUAUUUCAGUGUGUUAUAAGUGACAGUUUAUAAGUUGCACUCGUUAAAGUUUAGGACGUUUGGGCACUCUCUUUGCCAGUAGAUGUGUGUGUGUGCUAACCACAGCUCGCAUGUGUUUUUGUUUGCUGCACAGUGACUUCACGAAGGGCAGGUUUAGUCACAAAUUAGUUAAGUUUGUUAAAGAGACCCUCUCCCCUGUGACUGCUUAAUAUUUGGAGAGCGAGUGUAGAACAUUAUAAAGAGUUUAGUUGUGUGCUAUCGUGGCUACAUUGCUGCGAGGGAAGUGGACAGCGCGAGGUUGGAGUGUAAAUUGCUCGCGCUCACGGACUAGUCGACAGAGAGGUGACCAAGGAAGAGGCUGGUUCUACUCUCGCUCCAGACUGGACUCGUGAGGCAGUUAACGGAAUAUCUGCCGAGCCCCUCCGCCCCGACUUCUCUUCUCUACAACGGGAGGUGUCCCCCUUUGUAUCCAGCAUUUUCAACUCACCCACCCCUGCCCUACGUGCACCACCGAUUCAGCAGGACCACAAAGGACAAUCUUCUGGCCCAGUCAAGAGGUCCAGGAGAUGACGCCCAGUUUGACUUGGACAUCUGAAGAAGAUUAUAAUAAGUCAUUGCAACGUCAUCAUCAGUGUUUAUAGCUAGUACACAAGAUUUUUUUUAGACCAGUCCUAUUAAAAACUUCAGAGUUUGGAAUGUCUAAUCAGUCUUUUAAAAAGGGAUUUACAUUCAUAUUGUAAUGAAUGUGCAUGAGAGAAUAUGACACAAUGUCAUGAUGGCUCAUGACGGUUUUGGAAAAUUGUGUUUUUCUUGUGUUUUAGUGUUUUUUUCCUGUCCAUCGCUCUAUUUUGGUUCCUCUUCUGCUUUUUGGUCUGUCCUGCUGUUAAUUUUACUUCUGCUUCCAUGCGCUGUUCUCACCUAAUCCUGAUUACCAACCAAGAGGGUUUAUGUGCCAGUGUCACUGUUUCUUGAGCUGGACGCUAGUUCAUUGUUCAGAUUUUGUUUUUGCCUGACCUUGUCUUGGCUAGCCUUGCCUUGUUAUUGUCACAUUUUUCCUCACUCGUAAUCUACUUCUGUAGCCACGCUGGUGCUUCCUCCUUUUUUGUCACUAAUAAAAGUACCUUUUGCUUGCA